rnacentral:rRNA from 1 species
GUAACGGCGAGUGAAGCGGCAAGAGCUCAAAUUUGAAAUCUGGCCCCUUGGGGGUCCGAGUUGUAAUUUGCAGAGGAUGCUUCGGGUGCGGUCCCCGUCUAAGUGCCCUGGAACGGGCCGUCAUAGAGGGUGAGAAUCCCGUCUGGGAUGGGCGGCCGCGCCCGUGUGAAGCUCCUUCGACGAGUCGAGUUGUUUGGGAAUGCAGCUCUAAGUGGGUGGUAAAUUUCAUCUAAAGCUAAAUACUGGCCGGAGACCGAUAGCGCACAAGUAGAGUGAUCGAAAGAUGAAAAGCACUUUGAAAAGAGAGUUAAACAGCACGUGAAAUUGUUGAAAGGGAAGCGUUGUCCACCAGACUCGCCCGGGGGGGCUCAGCCGGCACUUGUGCCGGUGUACUCCUCCCCGGGCGGGCCAGCAUCGGUUUGGGCGGCUGGUGAAAGGCCCCGGGAAUGUAACACCCUCCGGGGUGCCUUAUAGCCCGGGGUGUCAUGCGGCCAGCCUGGACCGAGGCCCGCGCUUCGGCGAGGAUGCUGGCGUAAUGGUGGUCAACGGCCCGUCUUGAAACACGGACCAAGGAGUCUAACAUCUAUGCGAGUGUUCGGGUGUCAAACCCGUCCGCGCAGUGAAAGCGAACGGAGGUGGGAGCCCUUCGGGGCGCACCAUCGACCGAUCCUGAAGUCUUCGGAUGGAUUUGAGUAAGAGCAUAGCUGUUGGGACCCGAAAGAUGGUGAACUAUGCCUGAAUAGGGCGAAGCCAGAGGAAACUCUGGUGGAGGCUCGCAGCGGUUCUGACGUGCAAAUCGAUCGUCAAAUUUGGGUAUAGG